rnacentral:rRNA from 1 species
GAUGAACGCUGGCGGCGUGCCUAAUACAUGCGAGUCGAGCGAACGGACGAGAAGCUUGCUUUUCUGAUGUUAGCGGCGGACGGGUGGGUAACACGUGGAUAACCUACCUAUAAGACUGGGAUAACUUCGGGAAACCGGAGCUAAUACCGGAUAAUAUUUUGAACCGCAUGGUUCAAAAGUGAAAGACGGUCUUGCUGUCACUUAUAGAUGGAUCCGCGCUGCAUUAGCUAGUUGGUAAGGUAACGGCUUACCAAGGCAACGAUGCAUAGCCGACCUGAGAGGGUGAUCGGCCACACUGGAACUGAGACACGGUCCAGACUCCUACGGGAGGCAGCAGUAGGGAAUCUUCCGCAAUGGGCGAAAGCCUGACGGAGCAACGCCGCGUGAGUGAUGAAGGUCUUCGGAUCGUAAAACUCUGUUAUUAGGGAAGAACAUAUGUGUAAGUAACUGUGCACAUCUUGACGGUACCUAAUCAGAAAGCCACGGCUAACUACGUG